rnacentral:rRNA from 1 species
UACGUAGGGUGCAAGCGUUAAUCGGAAUUACUGGGCGUAAAGCGUGCGCAGGCGGUUUUGUAAGCCAGAUGUGAAAUCCCCGGGCUCAACCUGGGAAUUGCGAUGGAGACUGCAAGGCUAGAAUCUGGCAGAGGGGGGUAGAAUUCCACGUGUAGCAGUGAAAUGCGUAGAGAUGUGGAGGAACACCGAUGGCGAAGGCAGCCCCCUGGGUCAAGAUUGACGC